AGAAAUUUAAAGAAAGAAAAAGAAAAAGAAGAGAAGAUAUUAUGUGUAUGAAAGUUGGCCAAAAUACACACAUGGACGACAAGUCUCCAACACAAGAGUUAAGAUAUAAUAUAUAAACUAAGAAAAGUAUAUAUAUGUGUAUGAAGAAGUGAGAGUGGUCUCUCAUUUAACACCAAAUUUCACCAACAACCAACUGCUUCCUACAUUCAGCUGUCAACAAAAAAUAAUAACUCCACACCCAAUUAAUUUAAUAAUUCCUCUCUCUUUACUUUUUGGCUUUGCCUUUGCCAUAUUAAGUGUAUAUAUAAUAUGAUAACAUAUUCAUAUUGUUUGUGUGGCAACUUUUAAUAUUACCGUCUGGUCCGUCUCUUUCUUCUUCAUUCUUCAUUCUUCUUCUUAUUUAACAAAGUCACAAAGGAACGAAAGAAAGAAGAGGGAAUUAUCUUUAGGCAAUGCAAUUGCUGUCAUUGGCUGCAUAUUACAUAUUUUUCAAUGCUUCAAAGGUUGUUUAUUUGGUUUUUUUGGUUGUUCUUGUAAUUAUUAAUCUCACCAUAUUUGCCCAAAAUAUGAGAGAUUUUAUUAUUUGCAAGGAUGACCUUCUAAACUCUCUAUUCUUCCACUUCGAACUUUCUCCCACUCAUCAAUCUCUUCACCACUACAACUUUUCUGCUUGUUACCUUCAAUUCUUGUAAACCUCUUCUUUUUCUCUCUACUUUCAUGUAUAUGAGUAAUGUAAAGUUUUCUUUUCUUUUCUCUAUUGUUUUUCUUAAUUAAUAUAUGGAUAGUUACAAGUUUGUUUUUUACAAAUUAAAUUAGUGUAAACACCUAUAUCAAUGUUGAAGUGAGUUUAAUUUAGUGAUGAUUGAUACAUAAAAGUUGAUGGUUUGAUAAUCUUCCAUUUCAUAAUUAUUAUUUUUUUAAAAAAAAAGUCUAAACAAGUAUAUUACAGUUUUCACACUUACUGAUAGCUAGAAAAAUGUCCAACUAUAUCAACAUCAAUAAUAAUGUCCAAAAGUAAGCAAAGACUAAACUGAAUAACCACGAACUUUUAUAAAAACCUUAAUAUCAUAUAUCUUUUAGAAAGAGUAAUUAAUAUAUGUUUAUAUAUACACAAAUUGUAGAAUAAAACAAGAGAUUAGUGCAUUGACAUGAGUCAGCUUAUAAAUUAAGGAUAUACUCACAGUAUGCAAAUAUAGUAACACCAUCUUUCAAAUUCAAAGAUGAUAAAGUAGCAACCAACUUAAGUUUGUCAAGCAAGUGUGUGAAACAACUAGGUGACCGUGCGUUAAGGUGACGGUGCAUUCAUGAAGAUAUUAGCAAAUUGUUCGAUUAUUGUGGAGACAGAUCUUAAGAUGUGAGUGUUGCCCUAGAGAUUGAUGACAAAUGAAGUGAAUCAUUUUCAAUAUGUUUGGUACUUUUCCAUGAAAUACAUCAUCAUGAGCGAUAUAAAAUAGCACUAAGAUUUUCACAAAUGAAGUAAGUCGAUGAUUGUUGAGGAACAAUCAGAACCAUAAGGAACCAUCGAAGCCAAACUCAAAGUCAAAUCAACAAGAGCACGAUAUUCAAAUUCAGUACUAGAACAUAAAACAACGUUAGUUUAACUUCGUUUCUUAUAACACUAAGGAUGCAUGAUUGGGAAGAUAAAAGUGAAUCUCCCAAGUAGAAGCAAUAGUCUAUGGUGGAGCAUCCAUUAGUAGGAUCACCCGCCUUAAUCAGCGUCUGAGCAGCCAGAUAACAUUACGGAUGAUUACGAAAAAAGAUGAAGUCCAUGACCAAGAGUUUCCCUUGAGUACAUAUGGUAGAAUGGGAAGAAACAAAUAUAAAAUGUAUAGAUUGAAGGGAUGGAAAUCUUUACGUAGAGGAAGAAAAAAUAGAGACAAAAACUGAACUUUUAAUUGGAAUUUGGAAAUUCUCGUACAUUGCCAAAAUUUAGAAAGAAUUGAUUUCAAAAUUCUACGGUAAAGCACGCUUUUCGAAACUAAAAUCAUGGAUAAUGAAACUUACUUUCGUUGACAUCUUUAAAUCUACCGAUCGUGUUAUUGGGAGUCAUAAAUUAUAUUCUUCAAAAUAUAGACCCACUGAAAAACAAAACUUUCGUAUGAAAAAUUCACUCCAUCCACCGCUAAAGAUAGUAAAGAUAUUAUUUUCUUAAAAUAUGGAUGCAAAUUUAGCAAAAUAAUUGAGUAUAUUACAAUAUUUUAAAAAAAUUGCAAAUAUAACAAAAUUUGUCAAGUUCUAUCAAUGAUAGAAGUCUAUCACUGAUAGACCAUGUUAUAAAUAUUGGUUUAUCAUCGUUAGAUCAUACAAAUCUAUCAACGAUACAAGUCUAUCAGCAAUAAUAUUACUAUAUUUGUAGUUUUUUUAAAUGUUGUUAUAUCUUUAAAUUAUUCAUCAAAUAGUCAUCAAUUAUAAUUACUCUGUUCUUAACUACUAAAUGUGGGACUUGAACAACGGGUUUCAUUUUCCCAUUGAAUUGAGAGAGAUUCAAUUUAGAAGUUUGGGCCCAAUCCCAAAUCCAUUUGCUUGUUGGAUUUGAGUUUGGAUUCAUAUCGUGGUGUUGGAUUUGGGCAAUGUGCUUGGACUUGGGCUUAUUAUCUUCUUUGGCCUAAUUCUUCUAUCCAAGCCUAAAUUGGGUUAAAUAUGAUAAAAACUUAAUUACUAAAAUUCAAUCAAAUUAUAAUUAUCACAAUUUUUUUGUAGCGAUAAUGGCGACCAAAUUUAAUUGCCAAAAUUUCUUGUUUGAUUGUUUGAUUUGAUUUAUUAAAUUUGAAUUAGUUAUAUAAAUAAAAUAGGAACUUUGAGUUUAGAAGUGAUUAGAAGUGAAAGUUCAUUUUGUUGAGUAAGAUUGUGGAAUAAUUGGAAUAGUUGCAAAUUUGACAAUUAAAUUUAAAAUAAUUAAGUAUAUAGCAAUAUUUUAAAAAGAUUACAAAUAUAGCAAAAUUUGUCAAAUUCUAUCAAUGAUAGAGUCUACCAUGUUGUAAAAAUUUGUAUAUCACCGAUAGAUCAUACGAGUCUAUCAGUGAUAGUGUUGCUAUAUUUGCAAUUUUUUUAAAUGUUGUUAUAUCCUUAAUUAUUAUUCCUCAAAUGGUCAUCAAUUACAAUUACCCGAAAUGGAUAAUAAUUAUGGUAGCCUAAGUUGGAUUAUGAAUAAGAAAUGUGAUUAUUAAGUGUUGCUUCCAAUUGAUUGGGCUAAUCCCAUUAAUUGUAGUGAAGAGUGAGUGUCAAUCUUUUUUGCAAUUGAAUUGCAUGAAAGUCUAUUUAAGUAAGCUUUCUGGGUGAAUUUGAUUCUCUUUAAUGUCUCCUAAUACUUCAUCUCUUCUAUGACUCAUGGGAUCCGAAGAAUAGCCAAGAAGACGUUGAUUGUGUUCACGAUCCAUAUGAAAAAAGAAAAAAAAAAUUAUGGCUUGAGUAAAUGUCGUUGCACAUCACACCACCUUGAUUUUUUAUGCGAUCUCUUCAUUAAACUUACUGAAAGAAUUGAUAAAUUAAACUGGUCAUUUAAUUUAACAAAUCACUUAAACUCUAGUGCUGUGAGAAGGUUAAGGUGUAAAUGGAUAUUGCAAAGGAAGACAAGACUAAGAGCCUAGGGAUAGAAGACUCACCUUACUUUAAGAAAUAAGAGACACGAUAGGGUAAAAAAGAAAACUAAGCUUUAAUUAAUCUAACUAAGAUACAACCAUAGAUGAGAACAUUAGGUUAGAGCCUAAUUAGAAUUUCUUAAAGGAAUUUGAUACGAGUCUAAAUAAGUGUAGUUUUUUCUGCCAUGCAUACUUAUAGUUCUGUCAUGCAUACUUAUAGUUCUGGUGUGAUUGUUGACUCUUGUUUGAUUAAUAUUGUUUACUGUUUUUAAUUUAAAUUAUGUUAAUUCAAAGCACGAUUUUUCUCAAUUACCUUACGAUCUCAUUUAGUCACAUUUUUUAAUAAAUUAAAUUGUUGUUAGUAAUGUGGUUAGAUACGUGGGUAUAUAAGAUACUCUAGGUACUUGAGAUUAUAUAACUUCUUCAACAAUUGAGAUUAUAACUUCUUCAAUGCUUGUACUUAGCCCUAGUUUACCUAUAUUUUUACUACUCACACACAUUGGAUCAAUGAAGUAGUGACAACUAGGUAGUGCACCCGACAUUGCAAGCAAAAAACCCUAUUUUCGAGCAAAGUUGUGCAGAGCAGAGUGUAGCUACGCUUCGAAGACAUCCCAUGUGCUCACGUCUCGAAGUGCGUACGAUGCUUUGAUAUUUAUAUAAAUACAUUUUCGUUCGAUUUAGGUUAAAAUUAAUGUUCUAUCCCAAUUGCUUUUUGUAAGUUUUCUCUCUACUUCUCUCCUAUUUUUGGUACUUUGAUGUAUGAAAGUGCAUCCCCUGAUGUGUCAAUUAUGGACUAAGCUAACUAUUUCUUGGUUGGGUUUUAUGAUUUCUCUUUAGUUGGAUGUACUUGUGAGAUUUUCAAUCGAACGUCGAUGUGUUAGUGCUUGAUUCAAUUAUGUUUUUAAUAGAUUACGAUCAUAUUAUCAAACACUUGAAAAUUUUAUAAUUAUUAAUGCUUUUGAUCGAUAUUUGAUACAUGACACACAAUCUUAUAUCGACGACUAGAAAGCCAGAGAUUAAGUUAGCUAGCAAACUAUACUGCACUAACCAAUCUAGGGUUGAGUUGAUUGGAUGUUUAAUCACUAUUUUUCUUUGUUAAAUAUUUAGCCUAAUGCAUGUUUUCCUGGAUCUUAAUGCAGAUUUAAGACAAUUUGUAUUUGCAUGUUUUUGAUAAUUCUAAUUGAACUAGUUAAUUAGGACAAACUAAUUGGUGUUUCCAAUUUUUCUUAGUUAGGGGUAAGAAAAUACUUAAAUUAGAUAUUGAGAAUUCAAUGAAUGAGUACAUUCAACAGAGAAAAUUUUAGAACAAUCCAACUUAGGAUUCAUUUAUGUAUCAACUCUUUUUGCUUAGUUAUUUUAGGCCCUUCUUUUUCUUGUCAUCAAAACAAUAUCUAAAAUUUUCACAUCGAUUAUCUUUAGGCUCUAAAUUGUUUAACUGAUAAAUUCACUUGUUGUUUGUGUCUAAGCUGAUCUUGUCAAUAAGACUAGUUUGUAGGGGCGGAUAUGAUUUAAUUAUUUGAUCCGGAUUUUGUUCAAAAUGGGCAUGAUCAUCCUCCUUCAGGAAAACCUUGUUCAACAAUGUCAUUGGCUGUGGUUCUAAAGGCUUUGCUAAUUAUUGAUCAAUUUGGUAUGCGUUUGUAUACAAAUUAUAUGAUUUUGUGAUCUUCUUAUAACUUUUGAUUCUGGACUUCCUUUGAUAAACCCACAUUUGAACAAAGAGGCACCAAAAAUUAUGGUGUGGCUGCAUGGUUGGUUCUACAGCUUCGCCUUCUGAAGUUCUUGCUCAAAAAAAUGAUCUCUUCUCCGAUCACCAACUCAUCUUUGACUAAACAACGUAACUUGAUUGGAUAUGUCUAUUCUAGUCUCAUUUUAACACUACAUCUUAUUCUAUUUACAGAUUGCACUGAGAAAUUAAAGAAUGCUUUGUCUUUAAUUUGUUGGUGAGAUUUGGAGGUAAAUGAUUACAACUGUGCUCUAUGUUGAAUGAAAAUUUUGAGAAAGCAAAUUACAUUAUUAGUUUAUUAAAAGUAUGCAUUCCCACAUUUUUAAGAUAACAUUGCGGAAUUCCCUUUAUAUACUCAUGUCUUCCUUAUUCACGAUAAUUUUGUAAUUACAAAGAGUUGGUGAUAGCAAAAACUAGUUAGGAUCAAUUAAUUUUUUAAUAUAUAAAAAAAAAUGAAUUUUACAACAAUCUAGUUAAGCAUCAAAUUAAGAUCUAAUGACUUAGUUAUGAAAAAACAACUUAAUUAAAAUUUGAGAAAGUUAAAAAAAGAAAUUGUCACACACCUCUGAUUUUUAUAAAACAGUAAUUAAAAAAAGAUGAAGUAGCAUUAAACAUCACUCUAAGUUCACUUAGUCAGCACUUAUUAUUGAAAAGAAAAAAAAGAAGUGUGAGAGGGAGGAGGAGGAGGAGGAGGAGUAAGGGGAGAAUUGUGAAAAGGAAAAAUAGGCGUAAGGAUUGGGUUGGGCGUUGUGAGUUGUGAGGGCGUUGAGACUUGUGAGGAAGGUGGCGUGAUGAACAGACGCACACGCGCCCAGUUGUUGAAUGAAAAGGUGAAAGGGCAUUUGAGGAAUAACUUAAUUCAACGCUUUUCCAGAGAUCCGACCGUUACGAUUUAUUUGAAUAAUUAAAGGAAAAAACAAAUGAGACCCCCAUUUCAAAAACCUCCAAUUUCCAUCCUCUCUGUAUCUCUUUUCAGUUUUCCUAUUCUUCUCUACUUCUCUACUUCUCUCUCCCUCUCUCUCUCUCUCUCUCUGUUUUUGUAAGUCAUUUCCAUGGAUGAUUCCAACAACAAAGCCUUAUCACUCAUGGAACCAAAACCUUCACACCCACUUCACCAGAUUGCAGAAACCCCAACCCACAAACUUCUUCUCAAGCAAUGGCUCAAGGAAGAAGAACUGAUCUUCGGCAGAAUUUCACUCAAAGAAACCCAAAUCGACUCUGUUAGAAAAGAAAUCACCAUGCUUCACAUUUUCUUCUUCGUCUUCCACUCUACAGCCAUACUCCUUCUCUUCAAUGCCUCCACCAAGGAUUUCCAUGGUGUAGCCUGUAAGAGAUCGUGGAUUCCUUCACUCUGUUCUCUCUUGUUCUCUCUGGGAAUCAUUUGGGCUGUCAGAUACAAGACGGAUGUUGAAGCCCAUUUGGAGAAAUUGCUUGAGAGGGAAAAAGAAGACCGGAAUUUGUUGUCAAAGUGUGUGGAUGAAUUGAAGAGGAAAGGGAUUGAAUUUGAUUUGCUGAAGGAAGUGGAUGCGCUGAGGAGGGCCAAGAGUCUGAGAGUUGAAGCCAAGGCUGUGAGGAAAUGGUCUUCCAGGGAUUUCAUCACUCUGUUUUUCUUCUCUGUUUCUUGUAUGUUUCUUGGGAUUAUUAGGGUGGUUCUAUGUAACAACUAAAAGGGGGGGAUUGGUGAUUGGUGAUUUUGGAUCUUCUUUGUUUCAUUGCAGAUUACUCUGAUCUGCACUUGUAUUUUGUUGCUUUCGUGGGUAUUAUUUGGAUAACAAUUUUAUCUUCUUUCCAAAAGUAGUUAUUUUGUUGUUAUUUCUAAUUUAUUUACACCAUCUCAUCAUUCUUGCUACAACAUUUUGGUUAGAACCAAAUAAAAAUUAUUUUUAUCCGCAUGAAGAAAACUUAUCAAUAAUUGAUAUAUAAUCAAAGGCUUAAAUUCUUGUACUCAUAUUUGUUAUAAUAAAUAUAUAUAGAGUAAAUUGUAGUUACUUACAGGUGUGUUUUUAGAGGCACCUUAAACUACUUGCAAAUUAGAAUACGUGAAAAACCACUUUGGUCCUUUCUCUCUUGUGACUCCCAGCAAUCGAAUAAAAUAUUGAAGGGUGAAGAAAGAAGAGAAUAUCAAUGAAAAUAGUUAGGCAGAGCUUGGUUUAGAGAUCUAAGAAAGAAGAAAUGGGGAAGAAUGCUUAUUCAUUUAGAACUUUGAAAAAUCCCGUAUUGCAUAACAAGAGGGAAACACUGUAAUAGCCAAACAAUUUAUCAUACAAUUACAAAAACAGACACAAAAAUAUUAAAAAAAUGGGAGAUUCCACAGAACACAAAUUAUGUAUUGUUAUGUACAAAGCCAGAGGGGUGGGGGCAUGUUGAGUAAAUGUGAAACCAAAAAAAAAAAAAAUGAAAAAUGCCAAUAUUAUGCUUCUUCAUCUACCCUCUCCUAAUAAUCCACGAAGCAUUGGUUCAGAAGGGUUGGCUGGCGAGCGCUUCGUAUCAAUAAUACUUGAACUUGUAGAUGCAUAACGGCCGGUAUCAGGUUCUUCAGUUGAUGGAGUAUCUAUAAAGCUUGUAAUAUCCUCAAAUUUCCAAUCUGUCAGGUAUCCUGGUUUGGAAGUUACAGUGGCCACUUCGAUGUCUCCACUCAGCAUUGCCACCACGCGGGACAUCGAUGGUCGAAGACCUGGGGAUGUUUGAGUGCACAGAAGAGCUACACCAAUCACCCUUUUUACUUCCUCCUUCCUGAACUCCGAUAAUGCAGAAUCCACCAUCUCAAGCUCACAGUUGUUUUCGUGGAGAUACCAUGCCUACAACCAGGAAAACAGUAAUUAAUCAGAGAAAUGCUAAUCAAAACAUAAAUGUAAGCGACAAGACGAAGAAUGCACCAUUGUUUGAGUAAUAAUGUAUAUACUUUUGGUCUCAUCGUUGAGUUAUGAGAGGAAAUGCAAAGCAAGUAUUAAGGCUAGUCACUAAGAAAACUGUUAUUAAACAGUUUAGUUGUUUCAUUUUUCAGUUUAGUUGUUAUACAGUUUUUCUGUUUCUCUUAUCUACUGUACAUUUCCCUUUGUAAAAGGAAAUGCAUUGUAUCUAAAUAAUUCAAUUCAGAAAAAUAUAUUCAAACCUUCAUUCUCUAGAUCCACUCUUCCCGUAAGCUACUCUUUCUUUAGCAAGAUAUUGAGCAUUUGUUUAUUGUUUUCUAGCGUUCUUCUCAUGUUUGAUCAAAACUCUUCAUAAUUUAUAUGAUUGUGCUGGCGAUGGGACUGGCCAGCAAUUGCAUGGUUUUAAGUUACUAUGGAUUUAAGAUCAAAGGUAAAGUUGAGACAAUUUGGAUGAGAGCAAUAUGAAGGAAAUAGAGAAGGAUCUGAAAAAAGGAUAUGAUUUCAUAAAAGCCCAGGGGAGGGUGCUUAGGAAGAGAAGUAUAAGUGGGCUGUGGGCAUCAUCUAAGUGAGAAAGAAGUUCUUAACAAAAUAGUAAAAAUGAUUUUAAAACGAUUUCAUUCUUACCCAUUCGAGAAGAUAAAUUUUAUCUUGAUCUAAGCUUGGGUCUGAAUUUGGCCUUCCACUAACAAUUUCAAGAGCCACAACGCCAAAUCCGAAGACAUCAGCCUUCUCCGUAAGGUGGCCACGCAUGGCAUACUCGGGUGCAAGAUAACCACUGCAACAGUAAUAUGAACAACAUUAGUACUCGAAUAAAUAAAAUAAAACAGAAAAUUUAAUUAAAGAGCUAAUCUUACAUUGUACCAGCAACACGGGUGCUUAUAUGAGUCUUUUUGUCAUCAUAAAGUUUGGCUAACCCAAAAUCUGAAAUUUUGGGAAUCAGAUUACCAUCAAGCAGGAUGUUACUCGCCUUAACAUCUCUGUGCACUAUGCGAAGUCUCGAUUCCUCAUGAAGGUAAGUGAGACCCCUUGCGACACCCACGCAAAUCUCAAACCGUGUUGGCCAAUCAAUAACGAAAUGUUUUUGCCCUGCCACAUAGAAGCCAUGCAUAAAUAUAACCAUCUUUGUUUUCAACAUCCAGAAAAUUGGAUAUAAAUUCCUUACCAAAUAAUGAUUGGUCAAGACUCUUGUUCUCAAGAAACUCAUAAACAAGGAGACGUUUAUCGGCCUCAAUGCAACAUCCAUAUAAUUUCACAAGGUUACGAUGUUGCACUGCAGAUAUUGUAGCGAUCUCAGCAACAAACUGGCUCUUUCCUUGGUGGGAUGCCACUGAAAGUUGCUUCACAGCAACAACUCUUCCAUCAUUUAAUGUUCCCUAAAGGGUAAAAAAAAUUAGACAGCAAGUAAAACCAAUACUUCAGAAUGCAUAAAAUAGAUACAAUCGUCCCACUAUCGUAUGAACUACAAAGCAAGCACUGUAAUUGACAUUGGUGAAACUUAUGGCACGAUUACGGCUCAACUGUAAGGUUGAUUCAGUCUAAGAAAAAUACAUAUCAGUUAUAGUUUUGACACCCUUAGCCUUUUCCCCUCAAUGGUCACACGUUACCAAGAUCUACAACAUUAUCUUUUCAUUAUUUUCACAAAACAAGAUUGAUGAAAUUUAUUGCGUAGUUUCAGGUAAUUGACAUUUGCUUAGCGCUAUCCACUCCUUGGACAUUCAAAAGAAAGACUAUACCUUGUAAACCUUGGACAUUCAAAAGAAAGACUAUACCUUGUAAACAGGUCCAAAUCCUCCCUCGCCAAGUUUGUUGGAUGAAUUAAAGUCAUUUGUAGCAUCCCUUAGUUCAGAAUAACUAAAAGUAUACGGUCUAAUGUCUAUUCCUAGGAGCUCUGCAAAAUAAUGAUCAAAAUAAAUAAAUGUUAAAGACGUGAAUAGAAGGUUAAGAAUGUCUCCUGGAGUGUAGAUCCAAAAUGAAAGGCAACAGAAUUAAGAAGCAAACAACUACUUAAAAGCAGGUUCUUUGAAAUUACCUUCAUCUUCAUAGGCACGACGCCUUUUCCUUCUCUGAACAACAAAGAAUACUGCACCGACAAUCAGAAAGAAAACAGAUCCUAAACCAACAACAAGCCCUACAAUUAGGCCUGUUCUAGUCACCUUAGUAGUUGGAGGUACGUUACUGACAGUUGGUACAAAAUCUGCAGAAAAGCUCAAUACUUAAUUGAAAAUACUUAAAAGCAACACAAACAAAGAACAAAACUUUCCAUAACUAAUUACUUGGGGUAGCGCUGAUGGCUGAAACAGCAGGCCCAAAAUCACCCUGACGGGGUAUGCAGCAAGUGCCUUUUCCCGCCCAAAAGAGAUGAAUUUCCAGGAAGUUUUCUGUAACUUCAGCAGUAAAAUUCCUUGUGAGAGCAAGGAAAGACCCACCUGCCUCCUUCCUAAUAUCAAAAUUCUGUAACACACGAUUUCCCUGAAACCAAUGAUGAUAAACUCAGAUAAGGGAACAGAGGAAGGCACAGCGUAUGAGCAUCAGUUUGUUGAGGAAUAACAAUGGACAGAAUGGAAAUAUAAUAUUACGAAAAUUAAAUUUAAAACACUGGACGGAUGACACUUGUUCUUACUGCAUAAACAUAAACAAAACUGGAAGUGUUGCUAACAACCAUCUGUAAGCAGAAGGUUAAAAUAUUGUUAUUAAAUUACAAUUUUGGGCCCUGUAUUUUCAUAUGUUUAACUAAGGUUCCAGACCUUUAAAAAGUAAGUAAUAGAUUCGUAGCUUUUAAUUUUGUGUCUUAUGGAUCUCUAAACUUUAAAAAUAUAUUAGACACAAUUGAAAGUUUAACGAGAUAUUAAACAAACUUAAGAUAUUGGAUCAAAUAUAGGCAAAGCCUUGGUGUAUACCAAAAUUUGGGACAAUAAUUUACUUUUUGCCUCCGCCUGGAAGUAUGGUAAAUAAAGAGUCAAAACAAGAUUAUAUAAAUAAAGAUGAAACAAAAAGGAACCUGUAUAUAUAUAUCAAAGAGACGCCUCCCAAGGCUUUGCCAUGUAUUUGAAUUUGGGAAAGCUAUUUCUGCAAAAUGAAGGUUCACAGUGUAGUUGCCGUUCUCAAGCCCUAGUCCAUAGUAUCUCAAUGAUGAAGCAGAUAUUCGCUGUGUCUGAAAAAGUUCUGACUCGAGGGUGUUCGAGAAUUGAGACAUCGUACUGGCUGUGUAAUUAGGAUUGCUGGUCCCAGUAAAGUAUCCAGUAUUACUAACGGCCCACCUCUGUGACUCAGUGACAAAGUACGUAGCAGGACCGAGGGCCAUAUUUUCCCUUUCAAACAAAACCCCUGAUGAACUUCUGAUCUGUGGACCUCCACACUUAAUCCCAAAAUCAGAAUCUGGCAUACAUACGCAAGACCAGAGUUACAUAAAAAGAUAUUCACCCAUAGGAUGGGGCAUCUUCUGACUUGCACUUGCCUUGUGUAAUGGCAGCAUUAUGAAGAUGUAUAAUCGUAUUUUAGAAACUUGUACAAAAAUAUAUGAGGGGAAAACAAGGUAUUUAGAAUCACAGAUUUUGAGAUUUAAAUCAGCUUGAAGUUGAGCUGGAAUGGACAAAAGUAAGCCUGAGGUAGUUUUUCCACUUCCUCAGAGAAACAUACAACAAAUAGAAAGAAAAUAUUUUGUAAUUUCUACUCACAUAAUGGACGGCCUCGAUUACAAGGAAAGUUGCGUUGAAGACAAUUCAAUCCAGAAGGCAAAACCCUGAAAGCAAAAGAGAAAUGUGUUAAACAAGCAACUUUAAGACAAUGAAGUGUUUGUAAGCAUAGUUAACCGGCACACAAAAGAGAGUAAGGAUAUUAAAUCAACUCAUGGAAAUACCUGCUAUUGCUACUUUCAAUUGUGAAAAUGUUGGCAACUAAAUUUCUGCAUAUCAAAGCCAACAAGAUUAUAUCAUAACCUUCAUCUUAAUGUUGCAUGAGUAGGUAGGGAGUGUUAAGUGUACUAUUGUAAUUUGCAUGAUUGUAAAGAAAAAGAUAUAGAACAGAAAAUAAUGGCCACUCACAGCUGUAAGUUUUCCUGGUCGAUCCAAGCAGGAAAGCUCCCUGAUAAAUCAUUAUAUGACAAGUCUCUACAAGAUCAAAUGGAAACGCAUUAGUACUCAAUAUAGAAGGUAAUAGCCAAAGAAAGGUGCAAAAGUAAAAUGUGAUAAACGACCAUUACGUUAUGGAAUUAUCAAGUUACACUAAAUAAUUUAGCUUAAUCGCUCCACAGUAAUUCGUGUAGGUUUUAGUAAACAUUUUGAACAGGUAGUCAGAUUCUUUAGUGUCUGACUGAGCCAAUAAAUCUAAGUGUGCCUGAAAUUGUCACUGUUUUCAGAUGGCAAAAUCAAGCACAUGAUUAUAUGCCUGAAUGAAUACCAUGCCUCUCAAACCUAAAUGUCAGAAAACGUGUAUAUAAAAAUUACCCCAGAAAUGCAUCCUGUGCAGCACCUUACUUUGAAUAUUAUAACUCUGUAAUUGAGAUGUUUGAUAAAAAUGCAUUCCUUUGGAGCAUAAAGAAAAGACGAUAGAAUCUUUCAUAUAUUUUUAGUAUAGAAAUUUCAUUUCCAGGAAUAGAACAUAUCAACCAUCUAAUUGAUCAAAGGAUUAUUGCUAGAUCAGAAACAUGUGUAAGGGGAACUGUAAAAAUCAACAUUUGCAAGACAGACUCACAUAUUUAGAAGUGAUACACUCUUCUGUGUAGGUAGGGUCCCAUUUAACUUAUUAUUUCCAAGGAUCCUGCACAGCCGACCGAGAAUAAACACUUCAAUUAAACAAAAAAACGGUGGGAGUCAUAUAGUUAUUGAAGGAAGGGUUGGAUGUUACAAGUGUGACAGUGAGCUCAAACUGAAAAGUGAGCUUGGAAUCUCUCCUGUCAAGUUGUUGAAGCUCAAGUCCCUACAAUAGAAAGGAGAACAAAGUCAAAUUAUUACCAAAACCACAAGAACUUUAAGAAUAAAAUGCGAUCUUCAAAUAGGAUCAACUCUCCACAAGAGAACUAAAUUACAUAAUGGUGAAAAUUAAAAAAUUUAAAAUAAAUGUUCCUAAAUUUACCAUCUUAAUUUAUUAAUCAGUUUUGAGAUGAGAUGACACCAACCAAUUUCUUGAAAAAAAACAUGAAACAUGUUGUAUCUCGGGUGAUUUGGUGGGGCAAGAAUAUCAUACACAAGAACUGGCAAACAGUUGUAUGGGUCAAAGUUGAUUGCAACACAAAAAAAAUCCAACCUAGCUCAUUACUAGCAACAAAUUCAUUUAAACAGUUAUUCAUUGAUGAGGAACUCUUACAGCUGGGCAAGUCUACGAAAUUCUCCAAUGUUGGAUGGAAUUGAACCAGUAAUAUUAUUAUUUCUCAGCACCCUGCAAGAAAAGGAAUGUUAUAUUUAUUGUUAGAUAUUAUAUUAAAUUUGUCUUCACCCAUAAGCUUAUACUUUUGGGUCAAUCAAUGACUAAAGAUGGUAUCAAAGUAGGUUGAUUCAAGAGAUUCUAAGUUCAAACCCCUGCAUUAUUAUAUCACCUUCCCAUUUAAUUUUCAUUUCCACUUGUUGGGCCUUCAUCAUAUUUCAAGCCCAUAAAUGAGGGGGAAUGUUAAAUAUUUUGUUAAAUUUGCAUUCACCUAUAAGCUUAAGUUUUUGGUUCAAUCAAUGAUUUAAGAGUUAUAAAAUGUUCGGGAGAUUCAAAAUAUUAAAAAUAAUAAUAAUAAGGGAUAUUUAACUUUUAAAUAUAUAUAUUUAAACGUCAUAGAAAAAAAACCACUAAAAGCCAAAAAUUCAUUACACUUGAUUUUCCUGUGAAAUGUAAAUAUUUUGUCUAUUUUGUUAUCUUUGACAAUUUCCCUAAUAAUAAUAAUAAUAACAACAACAACAAUAAUAAUAUAUAACAGCAACGAAACAAAAAAUGGAGCCAACUCACAGGAUAGUUAGAGAUGUCAUUUUACUGAUGAAUGCCAGAGAAGAGCUCCCAUUGGAUAAAUCACCUAUUCUCCUAUAUCAAUGAUAAAUGGUACACAUUAGCAAUGAUUCAAACAGUACAUAGACCAAAUAACCUGAAAUGGUUCUAUUUACUCACAACUCAGUCAAAGAUGUCAAGUUUGAAAAUGUCGAUGGUAUGGGACCUGUAAACGAGUUUCCUUGAAACCUCCUACAAAAGUAAGCAGGAAUGAGAAUUUUCACCAAGAUAAAAUCUCCAGCCAUUGCUUGGGCCAUCAGGCACCAUGGAGCUAAUAAGUUCUCUUACAAAGAUGUGAGCCUUGUCCAGUUCCCGAUGAAAUCAGGUAUUCUGCCAGUGAAUUCAUUGUCCGAUGCCCAUCUGUUCAGAGGAGAGAUUAAUAUCAAAAUGAUGCAUUCUUGGCUGAUAAAGUUAGGAAAAGUUGAAGCCAGAAAAUGGAUUACACUAUCUGCAAGUUUCUUAGACGUGAAAAUGAUGGAGGAAUACCACCCGAAACUCCAGAGCUAUCAAUGUAUCUAUCAAGACAAACAUGAUUAACAAAUUAUCAGUAUAAUCGUAAUGAAACAGUGCAAGGCAAAGUAAAGGUAGAUCAUCACAACCAAGCAUAACAAAACUUUAAUUAUAGUCAAAGAUUACAACUGGGACAAAUAUGUUCAUUCAGAUCUUUCAGCAUGCUCAUAACUCAUAAAUCAUACAUAUCACAGGGUGAAGGGACCCAAAGUCAAAUUAGUAUUUUAGAUUCUUGCAUCACAAACUCACAACUAAAGUAAAAUGAGCGUGAUUACAUACUGGUAAGAACUAUAAGUUAGGAUUGUGAACCGAUAAGUUAAUGAGCUCCUUCUUUCACAAAAGUUGGUUUAACUUUCAGUCUUCUCUCUUUUAUGUCUCCAACAUUAUACUCUUCAUUAACUGAUGUUUGGAUCUCAAACAUCUACUUAAGUAUGUAAAAAUUCAACAUAUGAGUUUAUGUUUACAACGUGUUGUGUUAAAUUGAUGAACGUCAAAUAGGAUAUAAUUCCUCUAGUUGGAGCAAGUAUUCUCUACUAGCUAUCACCUGAAGCAAGCUGUCUCCUCCAUUUUGUAAGUAUAAUCUUACUAAUCAAUGGAAGCGUUUUUGUAAUUAUCUUUCCAUAGUUACAUAUAUAAUUCCUAUCAUUUGUACAAGAGUGAGUUUUAUCGUGAGCUUUCAAUCAAUAAUAGCAAGUCAUCUUUCUUCAUGUCUUAUAUACAUAUAAAGACCAUGGUAUUUCUGGAAAUUACAAAAGUUAAAAGCUACAGAAACGGCACAUCCAACAAUAUUCUGAAUAUCAAAAAACUGAGGGCAAAACACAUGACUACAGAAUUUUACUCUUUUAUCCCUAUUGUUAGAAAGUUUGAUACUAAAACAGAUUUUGUUAUUACAGUCUAGGAAAGAAGCCAAUAGACAUAAGUGACAAAUGUAGGUAUAAACAGAUAACGAGCAUUUCGAGGGGAAAAAAGAACGAUGAAAAGCUUACAGUUCCCUUAACACAGAAAGAUUUCCAAGUUCUGACGGUAAGGGACCGGAGAAAUUGUUGGACCCAAAUGCCCUACAAUAUCAGUCAAAACACAACAGUUAAAUAUGUUCAUAUGAAAAAAAUACAGCUGCGUGGCAUCUAUUGUUAAUAAUCUGCAUCUGUACUCUUGAAAGUUUUUCAUUACUCAUAGCUCCCAUUCAUAAGUAAGGCAAAAAAAAAGAUAAGCAUCUGAGUGAAUUUAAAACUUUUGAGUGGAAAGAAAAUAUAAAAGAUAAAAAAAAAAAUUGAAAAUUUUAGCUUCAUAGGUUUGAUAAAAA
rnacentral:lncRNA from 1 species